GGGAGCCAGCCGCCGAAGGUGGGGCAAGUGAUUGGGGUGAAGUCGUAACAAGGUAGCCGUACCGGAAGGUGCGGCUGGAUCACCUCCUUUCUAAGGA
rnacentral:rRNA from 1 species